rnacentral:lncRNA from 1 species
AUACUAAACUAGGUUUCUGGACAUACCUCUACUGUUAACAGUAAUUCUUUAUUUAAAUAGGCAAGACAUUCUGCUCUUGCAGAAAGGCCCUUGCGAUCAGAAUAAGAGGAAAAUAGAUCCUGGUAAGGACCCAGGUUCUGAGAACACCUUUUAGGGUCUGACAUCUCUGCCAGGUGUGAAGAGCUGAGAAUCAGUGGAUCUGAGUUCUAGCCCUAGUUCUGGUGUUAACUCCUCAGCCAUAACUUCCUUGUGCUUUCUUUACAAUGAGGAUAAUAAAACCAGCUUUGUCUUCUUCACAGGCUAUUGCUGAAGACAACAUGAUAUAACAGAAUUGGAAGUGCUUUCACAAACAUUGUUUUAUGAACACAAGGUUCAUCCCCAUCUUGUGGAAUUGGAUUUCCACCAAGGGUUCCUGCUCCUCAUUUAGCGUGGAAGAAAGUGGAUUUUGCAAAUAACAUUCAUGAUGUUUUGGGCAGUAUCUACUCUGCCUGCAAGCUUAGGCUACAAAUGACAAAUGGCACACCAAAGUGAGGUGUGGUCGUGCAGACAGAAAAAGCAAGGGCCUCCUAAUGCCCAGGAAGCAAAAAGGAAAGAACGUCUCUUCGGUACCUCAUGACUUCCUGCUAGAGGCCUGAAGUCACUGGCACACUGGAGGAUUCUGUUAGUAUUCUCAUCAGGUAUGCUGUUUAUUAGACAGAUUAAGACUAAAAGAAAAUACACAAAAAUAGAAAGCUGCUUCUUUGAGAAUGAUGAGUAUGUUUUCAAAAACUUUAAAUUUUAAAUAUUUAUAGAUUCACAUGAAGGUGUCACAAAAUGUACAGGGAAGUCCUGAACACUCUUCACCCAGCCUCUGCCAAGGUUAGUGUCAUGAGUAACUGUAGUAAAAUGUCGAAACCAGGAAACUGACAUUAGAACAAUCCACAGAGCUUAUUCAGAUUUCAACAGUUAUGCAUGGACUCAUUU